rnacentral:lncRNA from 1 species
UAAACUAAAAAGGCAAGGCAUAGAUAGAAAGAAAAAAGAUGGCCUCAUAAAAAAGUUUUUGGACAUGAAUUUGUGUAUGUGACAUUUUUCAGUGUUAUUGAAGUCAGGAAAGAGAUGAACAGGAAACUCCAGAUUCAUGCAGAGGAGUCCAUUUAACAUCAUGCUGUUUUCCAAUGACACACUUCACAACAAAAGAUUUCAGGAAUGGGGAAGUGUUUUGAAGGCUUGUAAGAAAAAAAAGCUGCUCUCAUUUCCAAGACGAGUCUUGCUAUGAAGUCUCAGGAAUCGGCUUAUAUGGGUGAGUUAUCACAAACCUUUUAAGAAAAUGGGAGGACAUAGGCUGUAUUUAAAAUUGAAAAUAUACGUGUGUGUGUGUGUGUAUGUGU